rnacentral:rRNA from 1 species
UACAGAGGUCUCAAGCGUUGUUCGGAUUCAUUGGGCGUAAAGCGCACGUAGGCGGCUUUCUAAGUCAGGGGUGAAAUCCUGGAGCUCAACUCCAGAACUGCCUUUGAUACUGGAGAGCUUGAGUCCGGGAGAGGUGAGUGGAACUGCGAGUGUAGAGGUGAAAUUCGUAGAUAUUCGCAAGAACACCAGUGGCGAAGGCGGCUCACUGGCCCGGUACUGACGCUGAGGUGCGAAAGCGUGGGGAGCAAACAGG